GUCGAUUUGUUUAGCGCUUGGACUAAACUUAUCCGUUUAAAUGUAAGAGAAAUUAAUCGAAACAAAGUAUUUGAACACUUGUUAGUUGUUACACGUUAAAUGAAUGAUAUAUCAGUCAAAAAAAACUCAGCUUGCACAUUGUACUGGAAAAUAAUCAAGUUGCCGAAUAGCGACGCACUUGCAUUGUUUGCGAAAUUUCUGAAGACCGUCAGUAGCCUAUAUCCUAAGAGACGGCGGAAGGAGUUUUGUGAUGGAAGAAGGAUUUACUUUAUUUUAUACAAACACAUUUCUCUCUCCUGACUGACCUAUGCGUGCAUAUACAAAUGUUUAUAGACUUGAGCAAAGAACACUAGCAUUUCGGAGGAUUACCUUGACAAACAUACAACCUUCAUCAUGAUGAGUCGGUCAUUCUGGGAUGCGUUCUUUCUCAUUACUGGGUCCCUCUUUACCUAUGGAACUGGACAGGAUAAUUCUACUAUUGCUACUAAUUCUACUAUGACCCCCACCCCUCCUGUGACUACUACCACUGUAAACAUUAUGACCUCUUCUACCACUACCAGCACCAUUACUACGACCAACCUUCCAGUUAAAAAGUUUGUGGCAGCAGCUGUUCGAUCACACUUCGAUGACUGUCCUGACUCGCAUAGCCACUUCUGUUUCCAUGGCACCUGUCGUUUCCUGAUUCUGGAGGAGACGCCUGCAUGUGUGUGUCACCAAGGCUUCGUAGGGAUGCGAUGUGAGCAUGCUGACCUUCUAGCCGUGGUGGCCACCAAUCACAGACAACAGACAGUUGCCACAGCGCUAGUGCUGUGUGUGAUUGGCUGUGUCUUGACGAUGCUGCUCUGUACACUUUUACAUUGCUGGUGGAGGCGGGACGGUUUUGGGCAGAGGCACGGACUCCACUGUGCCCCAGAGAAACAAGGCAGUAUGCUGAAGGGCCGGGGUUCCUGCUGUCACUCUGAAAGUGCAGUGGCAUGCUAUGGGUCUAUCCGAUGCUUAUGCAAACCCAGGACCAAUAUUUCCUUAACUUCUGCCCCCUCGUGUAAGUUUUCAUAUAUCAUGUAGAAAUUAGACUUCUUCUGAAACACAAUUUUAAAAUAUUAGGUACUUUUCUGAUGUAAUUUAAUGACAUUUUCUGUUUCUACUUUGUCCUCUGUCAGAUCACAUCCCUUAUUCACAAGUGGUUUGAGAGAAAAAACCCUGCUUGGAAUGCCAGGGAUUUUCACGAUGGGCUGCCUUCUCUCCUCAUCUGUCCAUUCAACCCUAAAGCCUGCUGGGACUCCUAUGGACUACAACCAAGUUUGGCAUCAGACACCCUGGCUAAUAACGUCCUUAUAAGACUGAGAGGGUAUCUUUAUUACUAGACCAAGGGAGGCCCAUUUGGUGUGAGAGUUCCAUGUCAUAUUUGAUGUCAUAUUCUCCACAGACCAGGAUUUACAGAACCUCAGCACACUUGGAAUACUGUGAUCUCUCUACUGUUUUAAUGCAUGGAGAGAAGAGAGGGAAACUGACCAGUCAGAAACACGGAACUCUCCAGAACAUCUCUCUGGAACCUGACCGUGAGGAGAUCCCCUCAGUGUGACAUCAUGACUGUAAUAAUAAUGAUGCCAGGAACAUACAGCCCAUGCUGGACAUAACAAGAGACAAAUACUUGCCAUCCUCUGGGGAUUUUGGAGCAGGAGAGCAACUAUUUAUUUCAGAUUUGGAUUUGAGGGAUAACUUUGUUUAACUCAGAGGAACUCAAAUUCUCCCUUUUUUUUUUCUUUUAAAAAUCUAAACACAAGAUUUAAAAUUGUUUCAUCAAAAUGUAAAGCACUCUGAGAUAUUUUUAAGGUGGGGCAAGAGUGUUUUAGUUUCUGCUUUUCAGCAAGGGAUAUUGACAUGCCUCACCUGACAAAAAUGGGAGAUUGCUACUGGGACUGUCUUUUUAACCCCACUGUGGAUUAAGGACCAAUGGUGGGACUUGGACAUAGUAAUGAGAGAGAUUAUGUUUGGAUUAAAUGCAUGCAAAAUAGUAGAUUUAAGAGGACUGUAAAGCCUCCAAAACAUUGCCAACCUAUAGUCCUUAGUAACUUGUAAUUCUUGGUAAAUCAAAUAAUCUACCACCAUAUAUCAUUAUUUCUGAUAUGACAGUCUUGCAUUGCCAUUGCACCUCAGAUGUAGUGUUUGUUGUUUCUGUCCAUUCCAUUUAGGUUUCUAAGUGAGUGAUGCACACACAAAACAGACUUUGUGUUCUAACACUUGUUUUAUGCUCAUACAUGCAGUGUUGGGGGUAAUGUGUUACAAAAGUAACGUGUAAAGUAAUCAGAUUACCUUUAUGAGUAAUAGAGUUAAAUAACAUGUUACUUUUUCAAAUUUGGUAAUAAUAUGACAGUUACUUUGUCAAACAACUUGUGCGUUACUUUCAGAAUUAUAUAUUUACUGGGCGCGUGUUUCCAUGAUCCGAUCUCAAUUUAUUUCCUCAUUUAGUUCUCUAGCGAGCGGAGAAAGUCUGUUUGGAGAAAUCAUGACAGUUGCUGUCCAUAGAAAUGUAUAGAGGGCGCACCUCUGAUCUUUGCCAUUGAUCGCUUCCGUCUAGUGACAAGUGUGCCCUCUAUACAUCUCUAUGGGUCCAUGUAGCCUAUGUGCGGUCUAUAACCAGAACUGGCGGCUCGAGAGAGAUUUUGAAUGAAGGAAAUCUGUACAGAUGUUUGGCUUACAGUAUAUAUGGCUAAUUAAGCAGCCCAUAUACAGCUGUUAUGAUGAGUUUCUGGUAUUGAGAAGUUCACGAUGCAAGAAUUUACUUAGACAUUCUGUG